UCACUAAAUUGCACACUUAAAAUGGUUAAAUUGCAAACUUUUUGUUAUAUAUGUUUUACCACAAUAAAAUUUGAAAACAAACAAUUGAGGCCAUUUAGGGGAAAAUAUUUCAAAUAUCUCCCAAGGCCAUUAUUGUAGUCUCAGACAAGUUAAUGGAAAUUCAAAAUGAAAACUUUGAACAAUGUUACUCAAAAUUUUACUUGACGCUAGGGAAAUCCAAGUAAAAUCUAUAGUUAUUAGUAUUAGACCAAUAUUAAUUUUCUAGUUUUGAUAAAUGUACCACAGUUAUGUAAAGUGUUGACAUUGGGGGAAGCUGAGUGAAAUGUACAUGGGAGCUCUGGACUAUCUUUGCAACUCUUCUGUAGAUAUAAAAUUGUUUCAGAAUAAAAAGUUGAGUGAUCUUGGUAUCCUUGUGAAAAGUCAAUUGGGCCAUAGAUAUAUGGGUUUAUUUCUGAAUUCUCAAUUUUAUUUCGUUGAUUUAUAUGUCUGUCCUUAUGCCAGUACCACACAGUCUUGAUUACUGUUGCUUUCUAGUAGCUUUAAAAUUGGAGCAUGUGACUCCUCCAACUUUCUUCUUUUUUUUUCAAGAUUGUUUUGGCUAUUCUGGGUCAUUUUCAUUUCCAUAUGAAUUUUAGGAUCAACCUGUCAGUUAUCACAAAAAAGGCAACAGGAGUUUUGAUAAGGUUGCCUUGAAUUUGAAGAUGAGUUUGGGGUGUAUUGCCAUCUUAACAAUAUUAAAUCUCCCAGUCCACGAACAUGGAAUGUCUUUCUGCUUAUUUAGAUCUUUUUUAAUUUCUUUCAAUGAUAUUUUUAAUGUUCAGUGUGCAAAUCUUGCAUUUCUUUUGUUAAAUUUAUUCCUUGUUACUUUAUUAUUUUAGAUGCUAUUAUAAAUGGAAUUAUUUUCUUAAUUUCAUUUUCAGAUUGUUUAUUGCUAGUGAAUAGAAAUACAAUUGAUUUUUGUAUAUUAAUCUUGUAUCCUGCAACCUUCCUCAACUCAUUUACUAGUGCUAGUAAUAUUUUUAGUGGAUUUCUUAAGAUUUGCUAUACAUAAGAUCAUGUCGUGUAAAUAGAGAUAUUUUUAUUUUUUCCUUUAUAAUCUGGAAUCCUUAUUUCGCUGACUUGCCUAAUUGCCCUGGCUAGAACCUUCUGUACAAUAUUGAUUAGAAGUGGCAAGAACAGACAUCCUUAUCUUGUUCCUGAUCUUGCGGGGAAAGCAUUCAGUCUUUCACCAUUGAGUAUGAUGUUAGCUGUGGGAUUUUCAUAGAUGCCCUGUAUCAGGUUGAGAAAAUCCCUUUCUAAGUUUGUUGCGUUUUUUUUUUAUAUAUAUAUAUAAAGAAAGGCUGUUGCGUUUUGUCGAAAGCUUUUUCUGUUCCUACUGAGAUAAUCAUUUGUUUUUUGUCCUUUGUUAUAUUAACUCUGUGUAUUACAUUGAUUGACUUGCAUAUGUUGAACCAACCUUGCGUUACUGGGAUAAACCCACUUGGACGUGGUGUAUAAUCCUUUUUAUAUGUUGCUGGAUUCUAUUUACUAGUGUUUUGCUGAGUUUUUGUAUCCAUAUUCACAAGGGAUACUGGUCUGUAGUUUUCUUAUGAAGUCUUUGUCUGAUUUUGGUUUUAGGGUAAUACAAGAAUACUUUUUGAUGUGUAAUAAAUAUAAACUUUUUUUCUCACAGAAAAUGAUCCACAGUCUAUUUCUCAUAAACUGUUCCGGUGACAUAUUUCUAGAGAAGCACUGGAAGAGCGUUGUAAGCCAGUCUGUCUGUGAUUAUUUCUUUGAAGCUCAGGAGAAAGCUGCUGAUGUUGAAAAUGUACCACCUGUCAUUUCAACACCUCACCACUACCUCAUCAGUAUCUACCGGGAUAAGCUCUUCUUUGUGUCUGUCAUACAGACUGAAGUGCCACCUCUGUUUGUAAUUGAGUUCCUACAUAGAGUUGCUGACACCUUUCAGGACUACUUUGGUGAGUGUUCGGAGGCUGCAAUUAAGGAUAAUGUGGUCAUAGUGUAUGAGCUCUUGGAAGAAAUGUUAGACAAUGGGUUUCCACUGGCUACUGAAUCCAACAUUUUGAAAGAACUGAUUAAACCACCAACAAUUCUACGUUCUGUCGUCAACUCUAUUACAGGCAGUAGUAAUGUUGGGGACACACUCCCCACUGGGCAGCUGUCCAACAUCCCGUGGCGCCGGGCAGGAGUAAAGUACACAAACAAUGAAGCCUAUUUUGAUGUUGUUGAAGAAAUAGAUGCAAUUAUAGAUAAAUCAGGAUCUACAGUCUUUGCAGAAAUUCAGGGGGUCAUUGAUGCUUGUAUUAAGCUGUCUGGGAUGCCUGAUCUUUCCCUUUCUUUCAUGAACCCAAGGCUUCUGGAUGACGUCAGCUUCCACCCUUGCAUCCGGUUCAAGCGUUGGGAAUCUGAAAGAGUUUUGUCGUUUAUUCCUCCAGAUGGAAAUUUCCGACUCAUAUCAUACCGGGUCAGCUCACAAAAUCUAGUGGCAAUUCCAGUAUAUGUGAAACAUAGCAUCAGCUUUAAGGAGAACAGUUCCUGUGGCCGAUUUGAUAUUACAAUUGGACCAAAGCAGAAUAUGGGAAAAACUAUUGAAGGAAUCACAGUGACAGUUCACAUGCCAAAAGUUGUGCUAAAUAUGAAUCUGACACCAACACAAGGCAGCUAUACAUUUGAUCCAGUCACCAAGGUACAGCCACUUCAGAUCAAGAGUACUAACAUGGGAUGUGGGGAAAAUCACUCCACAAAAGCUCCCAAGUCUUAAAGGACUGGUGAAUUUACAGUCUGGAGCACCCAAGCCAGAAGAGAAUCCAAGCCUCAACAUACAGUUCAAGAUCCAGCAGCUUGCUAUUUCAGGCUUAAAAGUAAACCGCUUGGACAUGUAUGGGGAGAAGUAUAAGCCAUUUAAAGGAGUCAAAUAUGUCACUAAAGCUGGAAAGUUCCAAGUGAGGACAUGAGAAGAGGCCAAAAUUCUUCAAGAUCUGUUUGUUUUCCAAGUGUCGUUACAGUGUUUUACUAUUAGGUACCAAGUGGGUGGGAAUACAUAUUCUAGUUAAAGCAUUUGUGUCAAGCUGCACACCCCUAACAAAGUAGCUUAGUAAUCAGUGUAGGGUCCUUAAGGAGCUUUAAGCUAAGGAAACUUUUCUAAUGACUUAGCUUAUUUUGUACCUUUUCAUUAAGGAAGAUUUUGGAGGUGAUUUUCUCUAUAGGGGUUACUAGCUGGAUGCUGCACACUGUGACAGUAAAGGCAGAAGGCUACAGUGAUAACCUCCCUCCUAAAACAAGUGAACUUGUCUCAGCCAGCAGGAGCUGUCUUAACCUGUGUUGUGAUGUGUCAGGUGCAACCAAGUGUCAUACCUUCUGAUCUUGCCCAUCCCAAAUCAGCAUCUGUCCCAACAGAGGAAGAUCCCCCUCUACCCAACCCUGAGAAGUUUACAGAAAACUGCCUCUUCAAGUGUUUGCCUUAUUCAGCUUUUCACUUGUGCCAUUAAGCAAGCACUGUAGCAAAAGCCACUUCCACAUGGCCCUGGCAAGGAGCACUGCUGCUCCAUGCUCCACUCUCACUGUACUUGGUAUUGUAUUUUUUAUAAAUAAGAUUUUUAUGUAAAACUCAGAUUUUGAUUUACAGGGACCUUGCUGCAGUAAAUACCAUCUCAGUUUUGUGCCACUGGUUCAGUUGUUAGCACAGUAAAAAUCAUUUGGAGCAAGGGGGUGAAUGCUUUAUUAAGGUAGGAAAGGGAACACUACUUCUUUUAGGAAGUUACUGCAAGCACAAGCAUUUGAGCUCUUAAGCAAAUUAAAGCAGUAAAAGAGAAACUGAAGCUGAAACCUUUGCCAUCUUCAUGUUUUAUAAGGCUUAUCCAGCACCACUUAAACCAUAGUUAGCCUAAAUGCCUCAUGCCCUAGUUUAACAAAAGGAGAGAAAUGUGCCUGCCUCAUGUCUUCAGUCUUUUUUUUAAUCUUUUAUCUUUUUGGUUGUUGUUGUUCUUAAGGGCCUGAAUUUGCCUGCAUCCCUUGUCUUCAGGGGGAACUCCUUUUCUGCAUUAUGUGGUUCUCACACAGAGAAUCUCAGUAGAUUACUACUCAGAUUCUUUCUUGAAACUAUUGUUGUAAUUGUCACUGGAGUACUUGUUGGUAUCUCUCUGUCCUGAUAAAGUACAUGGAAGUAUGGUACACUGUGGCAGAAACAAAAUCCUCAGUGACAUUGCUGACACCAUUGUGAUCAUCGUGGUUUACUAGUCAGUCUCCAGUUAAAGUAUCAUGUCAUUCAACCUCAGUGGCUUGGAAGUCUUUGCCCAGUUAUUCUGCCUCAUUAGACACAUAGAAAUGGAGAAAGGCUGAAAAAUAAGUGUUUAUUCUUCAUGUUUCCCUCUUUUUCUUACUUACGCUGUUAGUUUCUUCUCCUUGUGGCUGCAUUCUUUUCGUUCUCAGUUUCUGACUCCCUUUCCCUUAUCAUGCCAAGGAAAGCCCUUCUUACUCUCCCAUUUCUGCUGGCAAGGGCUUAGUGGUUGGUGCUGGUGCAGGGAUGGCCACUGCACAGCAGCAUUCUCACCUUUUACUGCCUCACCACCCAACUUGGCUUUCAUCUGAUACAAACGGCCAGUUUGUGCAACUUCUCAAUUUCUAGGGUAACCAAUCUCUGAUUGGUAACUAAAAUCAAGAUGUUGUCAAAUACAUAUUCCCUUUACCCAGCUCCACUGCUUCAUUUUCAGUGUCUCCCUCUUUAGGGUUCUUAACUCAGAAGGGCAAUCAGAACAUCUGUUUUUCUUUCUACAGAAUCCCUAAUCCCAACCAUCCAUACCUGGACUGUUCAAUUUUCCUCCUAUAUACAAAGCAGAUUGUGUGCCAAGAGUCCCUUGUCUCUAGAAAUUUCUGUCCUGAUUGACUUUUUCCUUUCACAGUUAAAUUACUGUAUUUAUUAAUUUGACAGAAUCCAGUAAAUCCUUUCUUUAGCUCUGGCUAUAAUGUCAAUAAAAGGAUGAAAGCAACUAGGUGAUUUUUUUUUUUUUUU